rnacentral:rRNA from 1 species
GCGGAGUGGCGGACGGGUGAGUAACACGUGGAGGAACCUAUCCAUCAGCCGGGGAUAACACUUGGAAACAGGUGCUAAUACCGCAUACGGCUUUUUUUCACCUGAAAGAAAGCUCAAAGGCGCUUUACAGCGUCACUGAUGGCUGGCCCCGCGGUGCAUUAGCCAGUUGGUGAGGUAACGGCUCACCAAAGCAACGAUGCAUAGCCGACCUGAGAGGGUGAUCGGCCACACUGGGACUGAGACACGGCCCAGACUCCUACGGGAGGCAGCAGUAGGGAAUCUUCGGCAAUGGACGCAAGUCUGACCGAGCAACGCCGCGUGAGUGAAGAAGGUUUUCGGAUCGUAAAGCUCUGUUGUCAGCAAAGAACAGGAGAAAGAGGCAAUGCUUUUUCUAUGACGGUAGCUGACCAGAAAGCCACGGCUAACUACGUGCCAGCAGCCGCGGUAAUACGUAGGUGGCAAGCGUUGUCCGGAUUUAUUGGGCGUAAAGCGAGCGCAGGCGGUGAUUUAAGUCUGAUGUGAAAGCCCCCAGCUCAACUGGGGAGGGUCAUUGGAAACUGGAUCACUUGAGUG